GUAGGUCACGAGCGUUGCCCGGAAUUACUGGGUGUAAAGGGAGCGCAGGCGGGUAUGCAAGUUGGGAGUGAAAUACAUGGGCUCAACCCAUGAACUGCUCUCAAAACUGUGUAUCUUGAGUAGUGCAGAGGUAGGCGGAAUUCCCGGUGUAGCGGUGGAAUGCGUAGAUAUCGGGAGGAACACCAGUGGCGAAGGCGGCCUACUGGGCACCAACUGACGCUGAGGCUCGAAAGUGUGGGUAGCAAACAGGAUUAGAUACCCUGGUAGUCCACACCGUAAACGAUGAUUACUAGGUGUUGGAGGAUAGACCCCUUCAGUGCCGCAGUUAACACAAUAAGUAAUCCACCUGGGGAGUACGACCGCAAGGUUG
rnacentral:rRNA from 1 species